AUUGAACGCUGGCGGCAGGCCUAACACAUGCAAGUCGAGCGGAUGAAGGGAGCUUGCUCCUGGAUUCAGCGGCGGACGGGUGAGUAAUGCCUAGGAAUCUGCCUGGUAGUGGGGGAUAACGUCCGGAAACGGGCGCUAAUACCGCAUACGUCCUGAGGGAGAAAGUGGGGGAUCUUCGGACCUCACGCUAUCAGAUGAGCCUAGGUCGGAUUAGCUAGUUGGUGGGGUAAAGGCCUACCAAGGCGACGAUCCGUAACUGGUCUGAGAGGAUGAUCAGUCACACUAGAACGGAGACACGGUCCAGACGCCUGCGGGAGGCAGCAGUGGGGAAUGUUGGACAAUGGGCGAAAGCCUGAUCCAGCCAUGCCGCGUGUGUGAAGAAGGUCUUCGGAGUGUAAAGCACUUUAAGUUGGGAGGAAGGGCAGUAAGUUAAUACCUUGCUGUUUUGACGUUACCAACAGAAGAAGCACCGGCUAACUUCGUG
rnacentral:rRNA from 1 species